rnacentral:rRNA from 1 species
UACAGAGGGUGCGAGCGUUUGUCCGGAAUCACUGGGCGUAAAGGGUGCGUAGGCGGGUCUUUUAAGUCAGGGGUGAAAUCCUGGAGCUCAACUCCAGAACUGCCUUUGAUACUGAAGAUCUUGAGUUCGGGAGAGGUGAGUGGAACUGCGAGUGUAGAGGUGAAAUUCGUAGAUAUUCGCAAGAACACCAGUGGCGAAGGCGGCUCACUGGCCCGAUACUGACGCUGAGGCACGAAAGCGUGGGGAGCAAACAGGG